rnacentral:tRNA from 1 species
GCUAGUGUAGCUCAAUAGGUAGAGCAGCUGACUUGUAAUCAGUUGGUUGUGGGUUCGAAUCUCUUCGCUAGCU